CAGCGGGCCGGGCCCCCAGCCUCGCUCCUAAACAUACCCCCAAGCCCGCCGUGAGAACUCAGCGAAGAGUAAAGGCUGGAGAAAUUUUACCACAUGUUUUUCAAGACCCAAGGCACAAUAGGCAUAAAGUUGUCCCGAAAAGGACAAGAGGAGUGUCAGAAGUAGGAAUGGCAGUCGAAGGAGCUUCGCCUGGCAGCAGAAAGCCAAAAUGACAGGCAAGCACAAAAUAUAUUAAUGAGACAAAGCUAUGCAUGAGCGAAAUAUCAAACUUUCAUCUUCUACCCACUUUUUUUUUUUUUUUUUUUGCUUAAAAACAGGAAGACAGAAUGUCUUGUCAAGGGUCACCCCAGGAGGAGGAGUAAAUUCUCCAAAAAUCAGAACAUAUUUUUAUGAUUUAAUUAAUGCAAUUUCUCUCAAUGUUUCUGUUUGUCAUUUGAGCAUCCACAUGAUCAGACCUGACAUCUGCCUACAUUUUAUUGGUCAUCUUUGACUUCAGUGAAGAACCCUUUGGGUUUUGCUUUUUGCUUUUUUUUCCCCCCAGCAGCACACUGUAGUAAGUUUGGAACAAGACACACCUGAAAUCAAGUCCCUGCUCUGGGCUGGGUGAUCUUAGAGGCAAUCUCUUACCUCAUUCUACUUUAUUGUUCUCAUAGGAAAAGUGGAAAUGAGGCCUUUUACCCCAGGGUUGUUGAGAAGACAGGGGAGAAAAAGCACAUAAAAAUGCACCUGGUCGGGCGCAGUGGCUCACACCUGUAAUCCUGCACUUUGGGAGUCCGAGGCAGGUGGAUCGCUUGAGGCCAGGAGUUCAAGACCAGCCUGGCCAACAUGAAAAAUACAUUAAAAAUAAUGUCUCUAUUAAAAAUACAAAAAUUAGCCAGGCAUGGUGGUGCACGCCUGUAACCCAGCUACUCAGGAGGCUGAGGCACAACAAUCGCUUGAACCCAGGAAGCAGAAGCUACAGUGAGUUGAGAUUGCACCACUGCACGCCAGCCUGGGUGAAAGAGUGAGACCCUGUCUGAAAAAAAAAAAAAGCAUCUUGCCUGGCACUGAAUAGAUCCUCAAUAAAGGUCAUGGCACUUCCUCUA